rnacentral:rRNA from 1 species
UACAGAGGUCCCAAGCGUUGUUCGGAUUCAUUGGGCGUAAAGAGCUCGUAGGCGGCUUGAUAAGUCGGAUGUGAAACCUCCAGGCUCAACCUGGAGUCGCCAUCCGAUACUGUCAUGGCUAGAGUCCGGUAGGGGCCCACGGAACUCCUGGUGUAGCGGUGAAAUGCGCAGAUAUCAGGAAGAACACCGGUGGCGAAGGCGGUGGGCUGGGCCGGCACUGACGCUGAGGAGCGAAAGCGUGGGGAGCGAACAGG